CUACGGGUCGCUGCAGUGGGGAAUAUUGCACAAUGGGCGCAAGCCUGAUGCAGCCAUGCCGCGUGUAUGAAGAAGGCCUUCGGGUUGUAAAGUACUUUCAGCGGGGAGGAAGGGAGUAAAGUUAAUACCUUUGCUCAUUGACGUUACCCGCAGAAGAAGCACCGGCAAACUCGCGUGCCAGCAGCCGCGGUAAUACGGAGGGUGCAAGCGUUAAUCGGAAUUACUGGGCGUAAAGCGCACGCAGGCGGUUUGUUAAGUCAGAUGUGAAAUCCCCGGGCUCAACCUGGGAACUGCAUCUGAUACUGGCAAGCUUGAGUCUCGUAGAGGGGGGUAGAAUUCCAGGUGUAGCGGUGAAAUGCGUAGAGAUCUGGAGGAAUACCGGUGGCGAAGGCGGCCCCCUGGACGAAGACUGACGCUCAGGUGCGAAAGCGUGGGGAGCAAACAGGAUUAGAUACCCGAGUAGUC
rnacentral:rRNA from 1 species